AGUUAAAACAAAAGUAAAAAUUAUGUUUUGAAAACAUAAGUGAGGGGUUAAAUUCCCCUUUUAACUU
rnacentral:tRNA from 1 species